rnacentral:rRNA from 1 species
AUUGAACGCUGGCGGCAGGCCUAACACAUGCAAGUCGAACGAGUGGCGGACGGGUGAGUAAUGUCUGGGAAACUGCCUGAUGGAGGGGGAUAACUACUGGAAACGGUAGCUAAUACCGCAUACCAUCGGAUGUGCCCAGAUGGGAUUAGCUAGUAGGUGGGGUAACGGCUCACCUAGGCGACGAUCACUAGCACGACUGAGAGGAUGACCAGCCACACUGGAACUGAGAGACGGUCCAGACUCCUACGGGAGGCAGCAGGGGGGAAUAUUGCACCAUGGGCGCAAGCCUGAUGCAGCCAUGCAGCGUGUAUGAAGAAGGCCUUCGGGUUGUAAAGUACGUUCAGCGGGGAGGCGUUACCCGCAGAAGAAGCACCGGCUAACUCCGUGCCAGCAGCCGCGGUAAUAC